rnacentral:rRNA from 1 species
CUUCCGCCGGCGACCGGCGCACGGGUGAGUAACACGUAUGCAACCUGCCCCUGUCAGGGGGACAACCCGCCGGAAGGCGGGCUAAACCCGCGUACAUGCCACCGGGGCAUCCCGGAGGCAGGAAAGGCUUCGGCCGGACAGGGAUGGGCAUGCGGCGCAUUAGGCAGUAGGCGGGGUAACGGCCCACCUAACCGACGAUGCGUAGGGGUUCUGAGAGGAAGGCCCCCACACUGGUACUGAGACACGGACCAGACUCCUACGGAAGGCAGCAG